rnacentral:misc_RNA from 1 species
AAGUCGUAACAAGGUAUCCGUAGGUGAACCUGCGGAUGGAUCAUUACCAAUUUCUAUAUUAUAAAACUGCUCAAGCCCCGCAACGGGUUUGGGCAACUUUUAUAAAUGUAAAUUGUUGAACCUGUUAUAUUAUUCUGUGUGGUUCAGUGUUAUUACUUGGCCACCAGCAUUUAUAAAAUCUAAAACAUUUUAUAUUAACUACUACCAUAUAUUAACAACUAUAUAUAAUACUUUUUAUAGCCCACAAGCUGUAAAAAACAACUAAUAUAAAAAACAACUUUCAACAAUGGAUCUCUAGGCUCUC